rnacentral:rRNA from 1 species
UGGGGAAUAUUGCACAAUGGGCGCAAGCCUGAUGCAGCGACGCCGCAUGAGGGAUGACGGCCUUCGGGUUGUAAACCUCUGUUAGCAGGGAAGAAGAGAGAUUGACGGUACCUGCAGAGAAAGCGCCGGCUAACUACGUGCCAGCAGCCGCGGUAAUACGUAGGGCGCGAGCGUUGUCCGGAAUUAUUGGGCGUAAAGAGCUUGUAGGCGGUUUGUCGCGUCUGCUGUGAAAGGCCGGGGCUUAACUCCGUGUAUUGCAGUGGGUACGGGCAGACUAGAGUGCAGUAGGGGAGACUGGAAUUCCUGGUGUAGCGGUGGAAUGCGCAGAUAUCAGGAGGAACACCGAUGGCGAAGGCAGGUCUCUGGGCUGUAACUGACGCUGAGAAGCGAAAGCAUGGGGAGCGAACAGGAUUAGAUACCCUGGUAGUCCACGCCGUAAACGAUGAGUGCUAGGUGUUGGGUCCUUUCCGGGACUCAGUGCCGCAGCUAACGCAUUAAGCACUCCGCCUGGGGAGUACGACCGCAAGGUUG